GCUGUAUUUUUGUCCUAUAAUAAAUCCUUGAUUGACCAAGCUUGUUUUGUCAAGAUGAAGGUGGAUAGAGGUGUAUAUAGAAGUGCCACUGUAGAGCAGUGGCAGGUAAUGGAGGUUCAACUGUAGUUCUAAUCGAAUGUAAAUUUUCCUAAGAUUAAUGAACACUCUUGCUAAUUAAUUAUAUUCACAUUAAUAUACAUGUGUAGGUGUUUGCUACCAUAACAUGAAUUAAUUAUUUUGUGGAUUCUAUUUCAUGCCUAAUCUAGAGGGACUGGCCACAGAACUGGACUCUACAAGCUUUUGUCGUCUAUGGGUUAUCACGUGAUAACUGUUGAUUAUCGAGGMUUUGGGGACUCUGAAGGGAAGCCAUCUGAACUUGGACUUAUCCAGGAUGGUUUAUCUGCAUGGCAAUGGAUUAGGUCUCAAAGCCCUGAAGCACCUCUCUAUAUCUGGGGCCACUCAUUAGGUUCAGGGUAAGUGGGGGCUUAUUAAUUAUGGUUGUUCAGGACUCAAGACUGUCCUCAU